UAAAAAACCGGUACUCAGUUCAGAUUGUAGGCUGCAACUCGCCUAUAUGAAGUUGGAAUUGCUAGUAAUCGCGGAUCAGCAUGCCGCGGUGAAUACGUUCCCGGGCCUUGUACACACCGCCCGUCACACCAUGGGAGUCGGUAACACCCGAAGCCUGUAGUCUAACCGCAAGGAGGACGCAGUCGAAGGUGGGGAUUGAUGACUGGGGUGAAGUCGUAACAAGGUAGC
rnacentral:rRNA from 1 species